GUGAUAUCAUCUUUUCUUCUCCACCUUCACCACCGAAAUUUAGCAAAAUAGGGGUUUGAGAGCUCAAAAAUUUCGGCAAGCUUUUCUCCUUACAAAUCAAGAAUUAAAGAAAUCGAACUUGGAUCGGGGGAAAACGAAAGUCGUCGAUUAAUCGUUCCGUUCCGGUUUAUCGUUGUCUGAGGUAAGUUUAUAAGAAAAUAGAUGAUAUAAAUUCUAAAUAAAUAUUAGUUAUAUAUAUGCUGAAAUGAAAACAUGCAAAUAUAUAUAUGUAGCCGAAUGUGUUUAAGUUCGGGUAAUAGAAAUAGACGUGGAUGUGAUUUACCGAUAUUUAGCACUGAGUGUGCGAGUGUGGAAUAGCUAUGGCUAUACGAACAGCACUAAGUGCGCGAAACUAAAAUGACAAUGUUGAAUAACGGGCACUAAGUGUGCGAAACAAAAAUGACGAUGUCGAAUAACGGGCACUAAGUGUGCGAUAUCAAUAUCAAUUUGGUUAAAUAAGAUAGAGCACUAAUUGUGCAACGUCAUUAUAGCUUCGACAAAUUAUUUAGCACAAAUUGUGCAAAUCCAAUGAAUGAUGAAUGUGACAUAUAAGUACAUGAUAUUACAAGUAUGUAAUAGUUAAAUAAUAUAUGAUAUCAAGGUAAGUUGGUUAUUUCAAUUGUGAUACAAAUUAGAUGAUGCAAAUGAAAGUAUGUGUGUGUAUUAAAGAUUAUAUUUGGCCAAAUGGUAAGUGUAUGUGAUAUCACAA